rnacentral:rRNA from 1 species
GGAGUUAGCCGGUGCUUCUUCUGUGAGUGAUGUCCUUCCUGCCGGCUAUUAACCCGCAGGCCUUCUUCCUCACUGAAAGUGCUUUACAACCCGAAGGCCUUCUUCACACACGCGGCAUGGCUGGAUCAGGGUUGCCCCCAUUGUCCAAUAUUCCCCACUGCUGCCUCCCGUAGGAGUCUGGGCCGUGUCUCAGUCCCAGUGUGGCUGAUCAUCCUCUCAGACCAGCUACGGAUCGUCGCCUUGGUGAGCCGUUACCUCACCAACCAGCUAAUCCGACAUAGGCUCAUCCGAUAGCGCGAGGCCCGAAGGUCCCCCGCUUUCCCCCGUAGGGCGUAUGCGGUAUUAGCCUGGGUUUCCCCAGGUUAUCCCCCACUACCGGGCAGAUUCCUAUGCAUUACUCACCCGUCCGCCGCUCGCCACCAGGGAGCAAGCUCCCCGUGCUGCCGCUCGACUUGCAUGUGUUAGGCCUGCCGCCAGCGUUCAAUCUGAGCCAUANNAACACUGACNAGNGGCGUGCGACGACGGCG